UUAAGCGACUAAGCGUACACGGUGGAUGCCCUGGCAGUCAGAGGCGAUGAAGGACGUGCUAAUCUGCGAUAAGCGUCGGUAAGGUGAUAUGAACCGUUAUAACCGGCGAUUUCCGAAUGGGGAAACCCAGUGUGAUUCGUCACACUAUCAUUAACGGAAUCCAUAGGUUAAUGAGGCGAACCGGGGGAACUGAAACAUCUAAGUACCCCGAGGAAAAGAAAUCAACCGAGAUUUCCCCAGUAGCGGCGAGCGAACGGGGAGCAGCCCAGAGCCUGAAUCAGUGUGUGUGUUAGUGGAAGCGUCUGGAAAGGCGUGCGAUACAGGGUGACAGCCCCGUACACAAAAAUGCACAUAUUGUGAGCUCGAUGAGUAGGGCGGGACACGUGGUAUCCUGUCUGAAUAUGGGGGGACCAUCCUCCAAGGCUAAAUACUCCUGACUGACCGAUAGUGAACCAGUACCGUGAGGGAAAGGCGAAAAGAACCCCGGCGAGGGGAGUGAAAAAGAACCUGAAACCGUGUACGUACAAGCAGUGGGAGCACGCUUAGGCGUGUGACUGUGUACCUUUUGUAUAAUGGGUCAGCGACUUAUAUUCUGUAGCAAGGUUAACCGAAUAGGGGAGCCGAAGGGAAACCGAGUCUUAACUGGGCGUUAAGUUGCAGGGUAUAGACCCGAAACCCGGUGAUCUAGCCAUGGGCAGGUUGAAGGUUGGGUAACACUAACUGGAGGACCGAACCGACUAAUGUUGAAAAAUUAGCGGAUGACUUGUGGCUGGGGGUGAAAGGCCAAUCAAACCGGGAGAUAGCUGGUUCUCCCCGAAAGCUAUUUAGGUAGCGCCUCGUGAAUUCAUCUCCGGGGGUAGAGCACUGUUUCGGCAAGGGGGUCAUCCCGACUUACCAACCCGAUGCAAACUGCGAAUACCGGAGAAUGUUAUCACGGGAGACACACGGCGGGUGCUAACGUCCGUCGUGAAGAGGGAAACAACCCAGACCGCCAGCUAAGGUCCCAAAGUCAUGGUUAAGUGGGAAACGAUGUGGGAAGGCCCAGACAGCCAGGAUGUUGGCUUAGAAGCAGCCAUCAUUUAAAGAAAGCGUAAUAGCUCACUGGUCGAGUCGGCCUGCGCGGAAGAUGUAACGGGGCUAAACCAUGCACCGAAGCUGCGGCAGCGACGCUGAUGCGUUGUUGGGUAGGGGAGCGUUCUGUAAGCCUGUGAAGGUGUGCUGUGAGGUAUGCUGGAGGUAUCAGAAGUGCGAAUGCUGACAUAAGUAACGAUAAAGCGGGUGAAAAGCCCGCUCGCCGGAAGACCAAGGGUUCCUGUCCAACGUUAAUCGGGGCAGGGUGAGUCGACCCCUAAGGCGAGGCCGAAAGGCGUAGUCGAUGGGAAACAGGUUAAUAUUCCUGUACUUGGUGUUACUGCGAAGGGGGGACGGAGAAGGCUAUGUUGGCCGGGCGACGGUUGUCCCGGUUUAAGCGUGUAGGCUGGUUUUCCAGGCAAAUCCGGAAAACUAAGGCUGAGGCGUGAUGACGAGGCACUACGGUGCUGAAGCAACAAAUGCCCUGCUUCCAGGAAAAGCCUCUAAGCAUCAGGUAACAUCAAAUCGUACCCCAAACCGACACAGGUGGUCAGGUAGAGAAUACCAAGGCGCUUGAGAGAACUCGGGUGAAGGAACUAGGCAAAAUGGUGCCGUAACUUCGGGAGAAGGCACGCUGAUAUGUAGGUGAAGUCCCUCGCGGAUGGAGCUGAAAUCAGUCGAAGAUACCAGCUGGCUGCAACUGUUUAUUAAAAACACAGCACUGUGCAAACACGAAAGUGGACGUAUACGGUGUGACGCCUGCCCGGUGCCGGAAGGUUAAUUGAUGGGGUCAGCGCAAGCGAAGCUCUUGAUCGAAGCCCCGGUAAACGGCGGCCGUAACUAUAACGGUCCUAAGGUAGCGAAAUUCCUUGUCGGGUAAGUUCCGACCUGCACGAAUGGCGUAAUGAUGGCCAGGCUGUCUCCACCCGAGACUCAGUGAAAUUGAACUCGCUGUGAAGAUGCAGUGUACCCGCGGCAAGACGGAAAGACCCCGUGAACCUUUACUAUAGCUUGACACUGAACAUUGAGCCUUGAUGUGUAGGAUAGGUGGGAGGCUUUGAAGUGUGGACGCCAGUCUGCAUGGAGCCGACCUUGAAAUACCACCCUUUAAUGUUUGAUGUUCUAACGUUGACCCGUAAUCCGGGUUGCGGACAGUGUCUGGUGGGUAGUUUGACUGGGGCGGUCUCCUCCUAAAGAGUAACGGAGGAGCACGAAGGUUGGCUAAUCCUGGUCGGACAUCAGGAGGUUAGUGCAAUGGCAUAAGCCAGCUUGACUGCGAGCGUGACGGCGCGAGCAGGUGCGAAAGCAGGUCAUAGUGAUCCGGUGGUUCUGAAUGGAAGGGCCAUCGCUCAACGGAUAAAAGGUACUCCGGGGAUAACAGGCUGAUACCGCCCAAGAGUUCAUAUCGACGGCGGUGUUUGGCACCUCGAUGUCGGCUCAUCACA
rnacentral:rRNA from 1 species